AGUUUAUAGGCUUAUUUUUUAUUUAUUAAUCGGUUAUUGUGCCUUUUGCAUCAUGCUUGAAUGAUAUGAUUGAGUAAUUUUCUAUGAUCGAAAUGUAUAGAUCUUUGAUGUUAUUUAACUAUCUGGGUAAGAUUAGGGUUUUGUUGGAAAUUGCGUCAGUGUUGUGAUAAAUUAUUCGGUAUACAUUAUAACUAUUUGACAGCUUUGAUUUUAUAUUAUCUUAGUGGCUAAGAGGUUAUUAAGAGUUAUAUAUUUUAAUUGAUAGUUUUUUAAAUAGGGUUAAAAUUACCCCUUUAUAGAAUAAGUGUUAAAAUUUUUUGUAUCUUUUUUAUAAAUUAUUUUUAUUGGUUGUUUAAAUAAAUUAAACGAAAUUAUUUGUAUUUAAAUAAGUAAUAUUUAGUAGUUUUCAUUGUUUCUCAAUCUUUGCCCGUCUGUUUAUUAAAAACAUUUCUAUAUUUUAUUUUUUAUAGUAGUGCCUGCUCUAUGUGUUUAUAAAUGGCCGCAGUAUCUUGACUGUGCGAAGGUAGCAUAAUUAAUUGCCUUAUAAUUGAGGGCUUGUUUGAAUGGUUUGACGAGGUAGCAGUUAACAUUGAAGUUUUUGUUGAAAUUAGUGUGGAGGGCACAGAAACCUCCUUUUUUAAUUAGACGGAAAGACCCCGGGAUCUUUAUGUUUUGUCUGGGGCAGAUUUAAAUUUUUUAUUAUUAUUAAGACCCUAAUGGUUUAUUGGUGUAAGUUACCCCGGGGAUAACAGUAUAAUAAUUUAAUAGAGAUCAUAUCGAUUAAGUUGUUUGUCACCUCGAUGUUGACUUAGGUUUAAGGUUAUGGCGCAGUAGUUUUAACCGUUGGUCUGUUCGACCGUUAAUUCCUCCAUGAGUUGAGUUAAGACCGGCGUGAGCCAGGUCGGUUCUUAUCUAUUUUUCUGAUGUAUUAGUACGAAAGGAUUGUACAUUGUUUUAUU
rnacentral:rRNA from 1 species